AAUUUGGAUAUUUUUAUUC
rnacentral:miRNA from 1 species